rnacentral:lncRNA from 1 species
CCUAUCACACGGGCGUGUGGAUGGCCGUGUGACCCAAGUCAGAGAGUUACACGAGUAUGGACACGGGCUGGAAUAUAGCCGUGUGUCUCACAUCAAAUGCCCACACGGCUUAAGACACGGGCAUGUCACUAGGCUACACGGGCGUGUGUCCCCUACUCCUAAGAAAAAUUUUUGAGAUUUUGAGAAAAAUUCCCUGGGUAUCCAGUUUAGUCCCGAUUCAAUUAUAAAGUGUAUAUUGGGCCUCGAGGGCCUAUAUAAAGGUCAAUAUGAGUGUUUUAUGAUUGGCUCUUGAUGUGUAUAUUAAAUAUUGUAAAACGUUAGUAUUUAAUCAAUAAAGUUUAGUAAUACUCUGUAACCCUAUUCCGACAACGAAUAAAGAUUAAGGGUGUUACAAAGCAAGGGUGGAAAACAAGUUUUUAUUAUAAAAAAAUAUAGUCGAAAGCAUCAGACUCAAAUAACCAAGUCCCAUAUGAGGAAGCUUGAGUUAGGUGAGUAAAAAAUUAUUUGGUUGAGCAACAAGAACUAUGUUGGAAGAUUGUUGUUUCACUGCUUGAUAUUGUAAAUACUCAUCAUAAUUUGACUCAAUUAAUGUGAUUGAUUUGACCAUUUGUGAUACGAGUCACAAAAGCUCAAAUUCUUGAAGGCGAGGCCCAAUAAGCAAAUUCCCAGCCCAAUCAAGAAAUCCAUCCAUACUUAGUUGAAAAUCAGGCCAAAUUGUCAAAGUGGCCCAAGUUGUAAAGUUUUAUUUUUAUUUAUUUAUUUUACUUAGUUUAAAUUUUUAUAUUCAGUCCAAGAGUCCCAAAUAAAAGACCCUUGGCCGAAUUUCCAUAUUAAAAUAAUUAGGAGUUAUUUUUUUAGUUUUAGUUUUAGUGUUCUAAUUAAAUUAGGAAAACAUUUGAAAGGCCUAUUUAUAUGGCUUGGCCAGCCACCCUACAUUACAUUACAAUUACAUUGAAAAUUUCAGAUUUGAUUUGAGUGAAAAUUCUCUUUGAGUUCUUCAAGGAUUUUCUCUUGAGUUUUCUUUAGAAGUUGUUUUAACAAUCUUUUUGAUUGUGGGAGCCAUCUUCAACCUUCUUCUUGCCAUUGAUAUUCUUUGGAGGGGAGAUUAGAGCCGUUUGAAGGGAUUUGUGAAAUCUUUCGGGAUUUCAAGGAUCUUUAGGACUUUCUUUAUUUCUUGCUAAUUCAUUUUAUUUCUUUAUUUCUACUUGUGCUGAAUCAUUAUCUAAUCUAUUUUCUGUUCUUAUUGUGUUUUCAGCCUUUUUCUAUCUUAAGGAAUCAGCCCAAAAAAUCCCCAAUUUCUAGGGUUUUUCUAUACUCUUUUUGGGUGAAAUUAGAUUGUCGAAAUUUGGGGAAAACUAUCUUGGUGUUCAAUUGGGCAGAAUCACAAUCUCCUUGAGGGUUUCAAGAACCCUAACACUUAUUUCUAUUCUCUAUUUGAUUCUUUACUGUUUUGGGGAUUUUAUUUCAGAUCUGAAAAUUCAAAAAUCUAAUCUUUUAAUUUUCUGUUUCGUUUCAGAUCUAAUUGUUUAGGGUUUUCGUAGGAGUUUCUCGUGACUUGACAACUCGAUCUUGGUCCGCGCGCAACCCCGUAUCAUUUGGUAUCAGAUUUUGGGCAUUUUGGGUGUUCUUGGUUGAUUUCUAAACUGAUCUCUAUUUUUUAAAUUACAACAGCAGUUUUACCCAGAAAAAUUUUCGAAAAAAAAUUCAUUUGAGUGGGUAAACGUUUUCUGAUUGAUCUGAAAUUUUACAUACAUAUUUUUGGCACUGUUAUUGAAUAUACAAAAAUAUUUACCACAAAAAAAAAUAAGUCGAAAAAGUCAAAAAAUUGAAAAAGACGAAAUCCAAUAAAAAAUUAAAAAAAUAUUCAGCGGGUUGAAUUUGGUGCCCAAAUUUUCCAGAUCAAAAAUUCAAUAUUUGAAGACAUUCCAGAUUUAAUUUUGUGAUUUUUUGAGAUCGGGAACACCUCGAACGAAGUUGUCAAGUUACUCCGCAGUUUUUCGGGUUUUCUGUUUUCAGCAAUUUUUAUUGAUUCUUAGCUGUAGGUUUUCAUUUGUUUACCUUUAUUCUUCCUUUACGUUAUCUAACACCUUCUUGUUUCUUGUGUUAGUAGGAUUUAAACGUGUGCACAACUUCUUCCUCGGUGCAACACGAAUCAAUUGGUGUCUCGUCAGUUUUUGGCAUCCUAGUGCAAAUUAGGAUUCUUUGGUAGUUUGGUUCACACUCUCUAAUUGGUUGAUAUAAACUCUGAUAAAGAACUCACAAGAUUGAAUUCGACCUCAUUGAGAAUUUGAAUUUUCUUUUUGAGUGAUUAAUGGUGAGGUUUGCUAACUUUUAUUUUUGAGUGUUGAGUGUUUAUUUUUUACAGGUUUUGAAGAUGUCUAAAGGUGAUAAUAAUGAUGCACUUAUGAAAGUCCAACAACAGUUAGAUGGACAUACUGCUGCAAUCACACAAAUAAAUGCUACACUUCAAGCAUUGAAUACUACUUUGAAUGAGGUACGAGUGAAUCAAAAACAUCAAUAUCGAGAUCCAAUUAAGGAAGAUAGGGAUAACCAACCCCAAAGGCGCGGCCCUCGACGUGUCACUAGAAUGGAUGAUGAUUUUCAUGAUCGUGGACAAUCAUCUUUGGCAAAACCAAGGAGCGAGCAGCAACGAGAACAUCUCUUUCAUACUCGCUGCCAUGUACAAGGUAAGCUUUGUAGAGUUAUUAUUGAUGGUGAAAGUUGCUCAAACACAGCCAGCACGACGAUGGUGGAAAAGCUUUGCUUAACCACUACCAAGCAUCCACAACCUUAUCAACUAUAAGGGCUUAGCAACGAAGGCCAAUUUAGGGUCACUCAACAAGUGCGCAUCGCCUUUUCUAUCGGUAAGUAUCAAGACGAAGUUGUGUGCGACGUAAUGCCUAUUCAAGCCUGCCAUUUGUUGCUAGGAGAACCAUGGCAACUGGAUCAAAAAGUCACUCACGAUGGUCGUACCAAUAGGUAUUCUUUCAAGCAUCAAGGAAAGAAACUCACCUUAGUGCCGCUCACUCCGGAACAAGUCCAUGAGGACCAAAUCAAACUGAAAAAUUCUGUUAAAACAAGUGAGGAAAAAGAAAAAGAGAAUGAAAAAGAGCAAAAAGAGAUUGAGAGUGAAAAGGAAUGUGAAACAGAAAAGAAAUUUGAAAAAGAAGUUGAAGAAAGAAGAGAAAAUGAGUUAGAAAAAGAAACAAAAGAAAAAGACGAGGAAAGGCUAGUGAGGAAUGUUUCCACUAACCAAGAUAUGAUUUUUCUUGUGUUGCUACUUUUCAGGUUCCUGAAAGAUCGAAAGAUAACUUUCAACUUCAAUACCUCUCAAAUGAAAGACGCUUUCAUACGAUCAACUUAGGCAAAGAUGAAAUCACACUACAUGAUCCCGAAGGUAAGCGAGGUAAGGAAAUUUUAGAAACCGAGUCCAGUGCAGAUUUAAAAAUUAUUGAUAAAACUUUUGGUGACUUAGUUCUUAAAGGAUCCCCUCAUUUUGAUCCGAUUAAUUGUUACUCUUCGAUUGUGGUUGAUAAAGUCAUUACGAAAAGAAGCGUGAUUUGUUAUUCUCUUGAUUUACCUUGUGUAAAAUCCUCGAAUUUGUCCAAAUCUGUUUUGGAGAAUAAGGUAACGAAAUUUUCCAAAUUUGUUUUCAAUUUAUAUUCGUGCCUUAAACAGUUUAUGUGGUUGUACAUGAAGUUUGAGUUCCAUUUGACAAAGGUUAACUCAACAACGGAGAUUCGACUACACUAUGCCCCCGAUGAGCGAAUGUUUGUUUUAAAUGAAAAAGGUAAAAUCGACCCUUAUUCUUCUGCUUAUCGAGGUAAGAUGCUUGAAACCUUUGAAACACUUUUGUACUCCUCGGAUAGUGAUAAAGAUCGUGUUGAUGAACACUUAGAUCGAAACGUGCUUGACUGUCCUAUUUUAUUUAUUGAUGAUCUAUCUGUUUUGAUGGUUGAUAAAAAGAUUCUUGUUUUUGAUAAUGCAUGUGUGAGUGAAUCUAUAGACCGUCGAUUAAUGCAUGGUAUGAUUAUGCAACUCUGUGAACCAUGUGAAUCUUUUCAAAUACCUACUUGUGACGAUUAUGUUUACCAUUUGAUUUAUUACUCGCAAUUUAUUCAUGGUUUGUGGGAACAAUGUGAGACGACUGAAUGCCUUAAAACAUGUCCAUCUUUGUUUCAAAUAUUUGACGAGGCAGUGGUGAGUAAAUUAGAUUGUUUGCAUGGUAAUCUGAAUCUGUCCAUUCACAUGCGUUAUACCUGUUCUAUUAUGCUUAUAAUUGGACUACAAGCUUGUUUCCGUUGCUAUUUACUAUCUCAUGGCUAUUCUUUUCAGUGGACUCAAUUGCCAUUACUCCCGUUCGAUAGAGGAAAGUCGAGUUCAUUUGAUUUUUCAGAUUCGAGGACGAAUCUUUUUGAGGAAGGGGGGAAUGAUACGAGUCACAAAAGCCCAAAUUCUUGAAGGCGAGGCCCAAUAAGCAAAUUCCCAGCCCAAUCAAGAAAUCCAUCCAUACUUAGUUGAAAAUCAGGCCAAAUUGUCAAAGUGGCCCAAGUUGUAAAGUUUUAUUUUUAUUUAUUUAUUUUACUUAGUUUAAAUUUUUAUAUUCAGUCCAAGAGUCCCAAAUAAAAGACCCUUGGCCGAAUUUCCAUAUUAAAAUAAUUAGGAGUUAUUUUUUUAGUUUUAGUUUUAGUGUUCUAAUUAAAUUAGGAAAACAUUUGAAAGGCCUAUUUAUAUGGCUUGGCCAGCCACCCUACAUUACAUUACAAUUACAUUGAAAAUUUCAGAUUUGAUUUGAGUGAAAAUUCUCUUUGAGUUCUUCAAGGAUUUUCUCUUGAGUUUUCUUUAGAAGUUGUUUUAACAAUCUUUUUGAUUGUGGGAGCCAUCUUCAACCUUCUUCUUGCCAUUGAUAUUCUUUGGAGGGGAGAUUAGAGCCGUUUGAAGGGAUUUGUGAAAUCUUUCGGGAUUUCAAGGAUCUUUAGGACUUUCUUU